rnacentral:rRNA from 1 species
GCAUAUCAAUAAGCGGAGGAAAAGAAAAUAACAAUGAUUCCCCUAGUAACUGCGAGUGAAGAGGGACAAGCUCAAAUUUUAAAUCUAUCGGGUUUUACCUGAUCGAGUUGUAAUUUGAAGAGGCGUUUUCUGCGUGUUUGGUCAGCCUAAGUCCUAUUGAAUGAGGCAUCAUGGAGGGUGAUAAUCCCGUCCGGUUGAUCAUUUGCGUUUUACGAUACGCUUUCUAAGAGUCAAGUUGUUUGGGAUUGCAGCUUAAAAUGGGAGGUAAAUUUCUCCUAAGGCUAAAUAACGGCGAGAGACCGAUAGCGAACAAGUACCGUGAGGGAAAGAUGAAAAGAACUUUGAAAAGAGAGUUAAACAGUACGUGAAAUUGUUGAAAGGGAAACGAUUGAAGCCAGUCGUACCUUCGGGUAAUCAGCCUUUCGAGUGCGAUUCUGUGGAGUGUGAGGAGCUUAACACCUUCAUGCUUUGCAUAUUUGUGCUCUUGGGUGUACUUGCCCGUGUGGUUGGUUAACAUCAAUUUUGGUUAUCAUAAAAUGAUUGGAGGAAUGUAGCUUCGAUCUCGUAUUGAAGUGUUAUAGCCUUCGGUAAAUGUGAUGAACGAGAUUGAGGAUUGCAACGGAUACCCUUCGGGGCUACCUGUCUGGUCUCUGAUCGUUGCUCUGGUGCCGAAAGCUUGCUUACGGUCAUCAAAGUCGAUGGUCAAUAGGUUAGAACGGGUUAAAUUCGUUAAGGAUGUUGACGUAAUGGCUUUAAACGACCCGUCUUGAAACACGGACCAAGGAGUCUAACAUAUAUGCGAGUGUUAGGGUAAUUAAACCCUUACGCGUAAUGAAAGUAAUUUUGGUGGGAACACUUUUGUGCACCAUCGACCGAUCAGGAUAUUUUUUGAUAGAUUUGAGUAAGAGCA